rnacentral:rRNA from 1 species
GUAGGUGGCAAGCGUUGUCCGGAAUUAUUGGGCGUAAAGCGCGCGCAGGCGGUUCUUUAAGUCUGAUGUGAAAGCCCACGGCUCAACCGUGGAGGGUCAUUGGAAACUGGAGAACUUGAGUACAGAAGAGGAAAGCGGAAUUCCACGUGUAGCGGUGAAAUGCGUAGAGAUGUGGAGGAACACCAGUGGCGAAGGCGGCUGUCUGGUCUGUAACUGACGCUGAGGCGCGAAAGCGUGGGGGAGCAAACAGGAUUAGAUACCCUGGUAGUCCACGCCGUAAACGAUGAGUGCUAAGUGUUAGGGGGUUUUCCGCCCCGUUAGUGCUGCAGCUAACGCAUUAAGCACUCCGCCUGGGAGUACGGCCGCAAGGCUG